CAGUUGUAUCUAAAAAUUCAUCUCCAGAACUUCCUCUAAGUGUUUUCUUCUCUCGGCCUGAAGGUUGGUCAAAUGAGUUUCCUUCUCUGCCAGUGACUGCUGAGUGCAGGACAGCUUCGCCUUCAUGGACUCCAGCUCCUGUUUUACCUUCUCCAUGGCCAUCAGUAACUCCUCCACCUGUCCGCGGGCGCCAGGCUCCUCGGGCUCUGCGUGACUGGCCCCCUGAAGCAGCGGCGGAGGCGGCGGCCCACUGUUUGCGCCGCACCGUCUCCUA